rnacentral:rRNA from 1 species
UACGUAGGGGGCAAGCGUUGUCCGGAUUUAUUGGGCGUAAAGAGCGUGUAGGCGGUCAGGUAGGUCCGUUGUGAAACUCGAGGCUCAACCUCGAGACGCCGAUGGAAACCAUCUGACUAGGGUCCGGAAGAGGAGAGUGGAAUUCCGUGGUGUAGCGGUGAAAUGCGCAGAGUAUCUGGAGGAACACCGGUGGCGAAGGCGGCAGUCCUGGACCAACACUGACGCUGAGGAGCGAA